UACACUAUAAAGCAGUAAGACCAAGUGAAUAACUGUUCAAAGAAAACAAAUGGAGAGGUUUCAUAUGCAUUCUUACAUGAGGCGUUGAGAACUAGAGUGGACUGAGCUACAUUUUCUUCCAAAAUACCUAAUAUUUGAGAACUCAUAUUCAACUUGUAGACCGGACAACGAAAAGGAAAGCUCAUGGAGAAAGAAGAUGAGAGAAACGACAUAGAGGUGCUAUGUGAACAAAAGGUGCAGGUUGGAGAUUAAUGCGGAACGUAAAGAUAAUGUUUGAGUAUUGUAACUCAUGUAUGUGUUCGUAUCUGGCUGUGUGUGUGUGUGUCUGUAAGAAAUAUAAAGGAAGUUACAAAAGUCCUACGGAAGAACAUAAAAGAAAGAAAUUGAAGAAAGGAAAGUCAUUAUGGAUAUGCUCGAUAUUAUCCGCUUUCGACCAGUCAUAUACAUCUAUUUCGAAUCGUAGAAUCAAAAUUGGAAAAGUCA
rnacentral:lncRNA from 1 species